AUUGAACGCUGGCGGCAGGCCUAACACAUGCAAGUCGAGUGGAUGAAGGGAGCUUGCUCCUGGAUUCAGCGGCGGACGGGUGAGUAAUGCCUAGGAAUCUGCCUGGUAGUGGGGGAUAACGUCCGGAAACGGGCGCUAAUACCGCAUACGUCCUGAGGGAGAAAGUGGGGGAUCUUCGGACCUCACGCUAUCAGAUGAGCCUAGGUCGGAUUAGCUAGUUGGUGGGGUAAAGGCCUACCAAGGCGACGAUCCGUAACUGGUCUGAGAGGAUGAUCAGUCACACUGGAACUGAGACACGGUCCAGACUCCUACGGGAGGCAGCAGUGGGGAAUAUUGGACAAUGGGCGAAGGCCUGAUCCAGCCAUGCCGCGUGUGUGAAGAAGGUCUUCGGAUUGUAAAGCACUUUAAGUUGGGAGGAAGGGCAGUAAGUUAAUACCUUGCUGUUUUGACGUUACCAACAGAAUAAGCACCGGCUAACUUCGUG
rnacentral:rRNA from 1 species